GGAGGAUCCAAGCGUUAUCCGGAAUCAUUGGGUUUAAAGGGUCCGUAGGCGGUCUUGUAAGUCAGUGGUGAAAGCCCAUCGCUCAACGGUGGAACGGCCAUUGAUACUGCAGGACUUGAAUUACUAGGAAGUAACUAGAAUAUGUAGUGUAGCGGUGAAAUGCUUAGAGAUUACAUGGAAUACCAAUUGCGAAGGCAGGUUACUACUAGUGGAUUGACGCUGAUGGACGAAAGCGUGGGUAGCGAACAGGAUUAGAUACCCUGGUAGUCCACGCCGUAAACGAUGGAUACUAGCUGUUGGGGGCAACUUCAGUGGCUAAGSGRAAGUGAUAAGUAUCCCACCUGGGGAGUACGUUC
rnacentral:rRNA from 1 species